rnacentral:rRNA from 1 species
UACGAAGGGGGCUAGCGUUGCUCGGAAUCACUGGGCGUAAAGCGCACGUAGGCGGCUUCUUAAGUCAGGGGUGAAAUCCUGGAGCUCAACUCCAGAACUGCCUUUGAUACUGAGAGGCUUGAGUCCGGGAGAGGUGAGUGGAAUUCCUGGUGUAGCGGUGAAAUGCGCAGAUAUCAGGAGGAACACCUAUGGCGAAGGCAGCUCGCUGGGACGGUACUGACGCUGAGGCGCGAAAGCGUGGGGAGCAAACAGG